rnacentral:lncRNA from 1 species
AGGGGUGCGACUGGAGACUGUUAGAAAUUCUAGAUGCGAGAGUUUCAUUCCGUAGACAUGUCCGGCUUGGUCUAUGAAACGAGAUAUCGAUAGACGGCGGCAUAAACAGAACCUGUAACGCACUUCUAAGUGAUUAUGUUUCUGGUACAUAGAUUCGAUGCUUAUCAAUUGGGAACCAGCACACGGUAUACACCUUAUAAUACAAGUUGGGUAUAUGUGUUGCUUGUCCAGCUAUUGCCUUGGUUCGUAUGGCUCUUUUGGGUUUAGGUUCAUUCAGACGUAUGUAUGUUGGUGGAGCAGCGAACGCUAAUGGAUACAAAUCUCCUUCGGCAACGCGCCUGUGGUGUUUACGCUAUAG